AAUGUCAUGUUGCAAUGGUCGUUAUGAGUAUGGUACUUUAAUCAGAAUUCAAGUGGUGUAACUAUUCCAAUGGAUAAAAUGAUACAGAGGGGUUCCAUAAACAGGAAGUAGUAUUAUACAGUACAGGAAGUAGUAUUAUACAGUACAGAGGUUCCAUAUACAGGAAGUAGUAUUAUACAGUACAGAGGUUCCAUAAACAGGAAGUAGUAUUAUACAGUACAGAGGGGUUCCAUAAACAGGAAGUAGUAUUAUACAGUACAGAGGGGUUCCAUAAACAGGAAGUAGUAUUAUACAGUACAGAGAGGUUCCAUAAACAGGAAGUAGUAUUAUACAGUAUAGUCUAACAUCUGAACUCUCUCACUGAGGUUUGUGCCUUUAAUGUACCAGGUAUCCCUCCCUAAACCCUCCAUAGACCCUCCAUACCCUCCAUAUACCCUUCCAUAGACCCUCCAUAGACCCUCCAUAGACCCUCCAUAGACACUACUGUAAUGUCCUCUAUCAGAAUACAUCAACCAUCCAUAGACCCUCCAUAGACCCUCCAUAGAUAUACCCUCCAUCCAUAGACCCUCCAUAGACCCUCCAUAGACCCUCCAUAGACACUACUGUAAUGUCCUCUAUCAGAAUACAUCAACCAUCCAUAGACCCUCCAUAGACCCUCCAUAUACCAUCCAUAGACCCUCCAUAGAUCCUCCAUAGACCCUCCAUAGACCCUCCAUAGACCCUCCAUAGACCCUCCAUAUACCCUCCAUAGACCCUCCAUAGACCAUCCAUAGACCCUCCAUAGACACUACUGUAACCCUCUAUCAGAAUACAUCAACCAUCCAUAGACCCUCCAUAGACCCUCCAUAGACCCUCCAUAUACCAUCCAUAGACCCUCCAUAGACCAUCCAUAUACCCUCCAUAGACCCUCCAUAGACCCUCCAUAGACCCUCCAUAUACCCUCCAUAGACCCUCCAUAGACCCUCC
ensembl:lncRNA